rnacentral:rRNA from 1 species
GACGAACGCUGGCGGCGUGCUUAACACAUGCAAGUCGAACGGAAAUGCCCUGCUUUUGUGGGGUGCUCGAGUGGCGAACGGGUGAGUAACACGUUAGUAACCUGCCCUUGACUUUGGGAUAACUUCAGGAAACUGGGGCUAAUACCGGAUAGGAGCUCCUGCUGCAUGGUGUGGGUUGGAAAGUUUCUGCGGUUGGGGAUGGACUCGCGGCUUAUCAGCUUGUUGGUGGGGUAGUGGCUUACCAAGGCUUUGACGGGUAGCCGGCCUGAGAGGGUGACCGGCCACAUUGGGACUGAGAUACGGCCCAGACUCCUACGGGAGGCAGCAGUGGGGAAUAUUGCACAAUGGGCGGAAGCCUGAUGCAGCAACGCCGCGUGAGGGAUGAAGGCCUUAGGGUUGUAAACCGCUUUCGCCUGUGACGAAGCGUGAGUGACGGUAAUGGGUAAAGAAGCACCGGCUAACUACGUG